UUCCGGUUGAUCCUGCCGGAGGUUACUGCUAUCGAGGUUCGACUAAGCCAUGCGAGUCGAAUGUAGCAAUACAUGGCGUACUGCUCAGUAACACGUGGACAACCUACCCUUAGGUCGGGGAUAAACCCGGGAAACUGGGUAUAAUACCCGAUAGUCCUCGGAUGCUGGAAUGCACCGAGGUCUAAAGCUCCGGCGCCUAAGGAUGGGUCCGCGGCCUAUCAGGUAGUAGUGGGUGUAGCGUACCUACUAGCCUACGACGGGUACGGGUUGUGAGAGCAAGAGCCCGGAGAUGGAUUCUGAGAUACGAAUCCAGGCCCUACGGGGUGCAGCAGGCGCGAAAACUUUACAAUGCCGGCAACGGCGAUAAGGGGACCUCGAGUGCCAGGUUACAAAUCUGGCUGUCGUGAUGCCUAAAAAGCAUUGUAUAGCAAGGGCCGGGCAAGACCGGUGCCAGCCGCCGCGGUAACACCGGCGGCUCGAGUGGUAACCGUUAUUAUUGGGUCUAAAGGGUCUGUAGCCGGCCGGAUAAGUCUCUUGGGAAAUCCAGCAGCUCAACUGUUGGGCUUUCAGGAGAUACUGUCUGGCUCGAGGCCGGGAGAGGUGAGAGGUACUUCAGGGGUAGGGGGAAAUCUUGUAAUUCGAAGGACCACCA
rnacentral:rRNA from 1 species